rnacentral:rRNA from 1 species
GUGAAAAGCACUUCGAACAGAAGAGUGAAAUAGUCCCUGAACCCAUACGCCUACAAGCUGUCGGAGCCGCUUCGUGCGGUGACGGCGUGCCUUUUGCAUAAUGAGCCUACGAGUUACUCAUCACCAGCGAGGUUAAGUACUUCAGGUACGUAAGCCGAAGCGAAAGCGAGUCUGAAUAGGGCGUCAAGUUGGUGGUGGUAGACGCGAAACCUUAGUGAUCUACCCAUGGGCAGGGUGAAGGUUUGGUAACACAAACUGGAGGCCCGAACCGGUAAACGUUGAAAAGUUUUCGGAUGACCUGUGGGUAGGGGUGAAAGGCCAAUCAAACUGGGAAAUAGCUCGUACUCUCCGAAAUGCAUUUAGGUGCAGCCUCUGUUGUUUUGUUCUAGAGGUAGAGCUACUGAUUGGAUGCGAGGGCUUCACCGCCUAUCAAAUCCGGCCAAACUCCGAAUGCUAGAACAUGAAGACAGGGAGUGAGCCAGCGGGUGCUAAGGUCCGUUGACGAAAGAGGGAGAACUCAGACCAUCAGCUAAGGUCCCCAAUUAUAUGCUAAGUUGGAAUUAAAACGGGGUGGGACUGCUUAGACAGCUAGGAUGUUGGCUUGGAAGCAGCCAUUCAUUUAAAGAGUGCGUAACAGCUCACUAGUCGAGCGGUCCUGCAUGGAUAAUACGCGGGCAUAAGCAUAUAACCGAAGCUAUGGGAUUGUAGAUGAUACAAUCGGUAGGAGAGCAUUCCAUUCAGCGUAGAAGCAGUAUCGUGAGGUAUUGUGGAGCGGAUGGAAAAGCAAAUGUAGGCAUAAGUAACGAUAAUGCGGGUGAGAACCCCGCACGCCGAAAGAUCAAGGAUUCCCCGGCAAUGUCAAUCAUCCGGGGGUAAGUCGGAUCCUAAGGGUAAGCCGAGUGGCGAUCCCGAUGGUAAACAGGUUAAUAUUCCUGUACUGAUCAUAACUGCGAUGCAGCGACGCAGAGGUGACACUGCUGCGUACUGACGGAAUAGUACGUUGAAACCCGUAUUCUUUGAUACCGGUAGUGAAGCACGCCGGUAGAGAUGAAAGGUGAUAGUACCGCAAUGCUUCGGUUGCGCGGAUAAUGCAGGUAAGCUGACUGCCAAGAAAACCUGCUAAGCUUCAGGUAAUGAUCAUCCGUACUGUAAACGGACACACGUGAUCAGGUAGAAAAUACUAAGGCGCUGAGAGAUUCAUGGUUAAGGAACUAGGCAAAAUGGUCCUGUAACUUCGGGAUAAAGGACGCUCUUGUGAAAGAGCCGCAGAUAAUAGGCCCAGGCGACUGUUUACCAAAAACACAUGGCUAUGCUAAUUCGCAAGAAGAUGUAUAUGGCCUGACACCUGCCCGGUGCCGGAAGGUUAAGAGGAGAGCUCAGAGGCAACUCGAAGGUUUGAAUUGAAGCCCCGGUAAACGGCGGCCGUAACUAUAACGGUCCUAAGGUAGCGAAAUUCCUUGUCGGGUAAGUUCCGACCUGCACGAAUGGUGUAACGAUCUGGGUACUGUCUCAACCAUGAGCUCGGUGAAAUUGUAGUUCCGGUGAAGAUGCCGGAUACCCGCAACGGGACGGAAAGACCCCGUGAACCUUUACUGCAGCUUUGCAUUGAUUUUGGGUAACAGAUGUGUAGGAUAGGUCGGAGGC